CCGUCAAUUCAUUUAAGUUUUAAUCUUGCGACCGUACUCCCCAGGCGGGCGACUUCACGCGUUAGCUGCGUUACUAAGGUACUUCUACCCCAACAACUAGUCGCCAUCGUUUAGGGCGUGGACUACCAGGGUAUCUAAUCCUGUUUGCUCCCCACGCUUUCGUGCAUGAGCGUCAGUGCUAGACCAGGAGGCUGCCUUCGCCAUCGGUGUUCCUCCACAUCUCUACGCAUUUCACUGCUACACGUGGAAUUCCACCUCCCUCUUCCGCACUCCAGCCCGCCAGUCACAAACGCAGUUCCCAGGUUGAGCCCGGGGAUUUCACGCCUGACUUGCGGAGCCGCCUGCGCACCCUUUACGCCCAGUAAUUCCGAUUAACGCUCGCACCCUACGUAUUACCGCG
rnacentral:misc_RNA from 1 species